rnacentral:rRNA from 1 species
ACGGGUGAGUAAUACAUCGGAACGUAUCCUGGAGUGGGGGAUAGCCCGGCGAAAGCCGGAUUAAUACCGCAUACGCUCUGAGGAGGAAAGCGGGGGACCUUCGGGCCUCGCGCUCAAGGGGCGGCCGAUGGCGGAUUAGGUAGUUGGUGGGGUAAAGGCCUACCAAGCCGACGAUCCGUAGCUGGUCUGAGAGGACGACCAGCCACACUGGGACUGAGACACGGCCCAGACUCCUACGGGAGGCAGCAGUGGGGAAUUUUGGACAAUGGGGGCAACCCUGAUCCAGCAAUGCCGCGUGUGUGAAGAAGGCCUUCGGGUUGUAAAGCACUUUUGUCCGGAAAGAAAUCAUCGGGGCCAAUACCCCUGGUGGAUGACGGUACCGGAAGAAUAAGCACCGGCUAACUACGUGCCAGCAGCCGCGGUAAUACGUAGGGUGCGAGCGUUAAUCGGAAUUACUGGGCGUAAAGCGUGCGCAGGCGGUGCUGUAAGACCGAUGUGAAAUCCCCGGGCUUAACCUGGGAACUGCAUUGGUGACUGCAGCGCUGGAGUAUGGCAGAGGGGGGUGGAAUUCCCACGU